AACCCAUGGUGAGGACAUCUUCUCAAAAGAUUAUUGUUUCUCUCCCAUGCAUCAUAGAGUGUUUCUAAAUCCAUCUGCACAAAGGAAGAAAUGUCAUUCCUCAACCU
rnacentral:snoRNA from 1 species